CUUUACUGCAACUUGACGUUGGAACUUGGCUGUAUUUGUGUAGGAUAGGUGGGAGACUUUGAAGCAGGGCCGCCAGGUCUUGCGGAGUCGUCGUUGAGAUACCACCCUGGUGCUGACGAGUUUCUAACCGUGUCCGUAAGCCGGACAUGAGACAGCGUCUGGUGGGCAGUUUGACUGGGGCGGUCGCCUCCUAAAAGGUAACGGAGGCAUUCAAAGGUCCCCUCAGCGUGGUCGGUAAUCACGCGCAGAGUGCAAACGCAUAAGGGGGCUUAACUGCGAGACCGACAGGUCGAGCAGGUACGAAAGUAGGAGUUAGUGAUCCCGCGGUUUAGCGUGGAAUUGCCGUUGCUCAAUGGAUAAAAGGUA
rnacentral:rRNA from 1 species